GUUAACCUACGGGACGCAGCAGUGAGGAAUAUUGGUCAAUGGUCGGGAGACUGAACCAGCCACGCCGCGUGAGGGAUGAAGGUACAGAGUAUCGUAAACCUCUUUUGUCAGGGAACAAAGGCGGGGACGUGUCCCCGGAUGAGUGUACCUGAAGAAAAAGCAUCGGCUAACUCCGUGCCAGCAGCCGCGGUAAUACGGAGGAUGCGAGCGUUAUCCGGAUUUAUUGGGUUUAAAGGGUGCGCAGGCGGUCUGUUAAGUCAGCGGUCAAAGCCCGGGGAUCAACCCCGGCCCGCCGUGGAAACUGG
rnacentral:rRNA from 1 species